CCUACGGGAGGCAGCAGUAAGGAAUAUUGGUCAAUGGACGCAAGUCUGAACCAGCCAUGCCGCGUGAAGGAUGAAUGCCCUCUGGGUUGUAAACUUCUUUUAUAGGGGACGAAAAGGGUCUUUUCAGAUCAACUGACGGUACCCUAGGAAUAAGCACCGGCUAACUCCGUGCCAGCAGCCGCGGUAAUACGGAGGGUGCAAGCGUUAUCCGGAUUUACUGGGUUUAAAGGUGCGUAGGUGGGUUGGUAAGUCAGCGGUGAAAUCUUCGAGCUUAACUCGGAAACUGCCAUUGAUACUAUCAGCCUUGAAUAUCCUGGAGGUGAGCGGAAUAUGUCAUGUAGCGGUGAAAUGCUUAGAUAUGACAUAGAACACCAAUUGCGAAGGCAGCUCACUACGGGAUUAUUGACACUGAGGCACGAAAGCGUGGGGAUCAAACAGGAUUAGAUACCCUGGUAGUCCACGCCCUAAACGAUGGAUACUCGACAUUUGCGAUAUACAGUAAGUGUCUGNGNGAGANAUAGUAUACCACCGAGGAGUAAGUAGUGNGAGAGUUAGUUAAGUAAGAAGUUAGAGNGNGAGAGNGCGAGGACGACGACGAGGGAGAGG
rnacentral:rRNA from 1 species